rnacentral:rRNA from 1 species
AGAUUGAACGCUAGCGGGAUGCUUUACACAUGCAAGUCGAACGGCAGCGCGGACUUCGGUCUGGCGGCGAGUGGCGAACGGGUGAGUAAUAUAUCGGAACGUGCCCAGUAGCGGGGGAUAACUACGCGAAAGCGUGGCUAAUACCGCAUACGCCCUACGGGGGAAAGGGGGGGAUCGCAAGACCUCUCACUAUUGGAGCGGCCGAUAUCAGAUUAGCUAGUUGGUGAGGUAAAGGCUCACCAAGGCGACGAUCUGUAGCUGGUUUGAGAGGACGACAGCCACACU